rnacentral:rRNA from 1 species
UACGAAGGGGGCUAGCGUUGCUCGGAAUUACUGGGCGUAAAGCGCACGUAGGCGGAUUGUUAAGUCGGGGGUGAAAUCCUGGAGCUCAACUCCAGAACUGCCUUCGAUACUGGCGAUCUCGAGUCCGGGAGAGGUGAGUGGAACUGCGAGUGUAGAGGUGAAAUUCGUAGAUAUUCGCAAGAACACCAGUGGCGAAGGCGGCUCACUGGCCCGGUACUGACGCUGAGGUGCGAAAGCAUGGGGAGCAAACAGGAUUAG